GAAGUCCUCUGUGUUGACACAGCGCCAUAUUGGAUCGCCUGCUAGAGUCCACACUCUGUGCACGAGAAGCAGAUUUUCGAUUUAUUCUUCCUCCAAAGAUGGUAGAAUUAGGCAAGGGGCCCUUUCAAGAAGAAAUAGACAAUUCACUAUUUAUAAUUCCUGGAAUUAUAAUUGUACUUUUAGUAGGGUUUUUCUCUUACAAGCUUGUGAAGAGCUUACGAGAUAAAGAAAGACAGAAGGAUGAGAAGAAGAAAUUAAAACAACAAAGAAAAGAAAAAGAACUAUCAAAGAAGCAGAAGAAGAAAUAGAUCUGAAAGACAAAAUAUUAAAAGAAUGACUAUUUUAUUAAAUUAUUUUCACUGUGCUGUAUUGGACAGGCCAAUUUUAGACAAAGUUUUAGGAAAGGAUAAUGGAAUUAGUUGACACAGGACAAACUUAUCUGCAAAAGGUGAUUCUAGUGUACUGAACUUCUUCAACAUUUCGGCUGCCAAACAAGGAAAUCCAAAACCCAUACUGGAAAUGUUCUUUAGGACAAUGCGGGCACCAUGCAAUAUUUUGCCAGAUAUCUUGAAAGUGUGCUUCAUAUGCUUACUAGUAUUACUUAGUUACCCAAAAACAAGCUGAACUUUGAUGUUCAAGAUUUUCACUUUAUUCAAGUAACAGAACCCUUGCUGUAUCUUGGAUUAAUUCAAGAGGGAAAAGUCAGAAGAAACAUGCCGAAGAGAUAACAAUCAGAAAUGCUGCCUUAUGACCAGAUCUGUACGUUCAACACCUCUCACGUAGAAACAGAUUCUAAAUAAAUCCUAGGAUUAUUGGUUUUGUCCACUCCUAUGGUACAUACCUAUUUUGAAAUAAAUAACAUGAAGAAUUCAAUGAAUACCUCCACAGACACCAAAGUGGAAGCAUAACAGAUAAAAUUCCUGCUGAACAUAAACUAAUAAGCAAGUGUGUUUCUAUUGACUUUAUUUAGUCUAUUUCAAAUGAAUUAGAUAUUUUUUAUUGAAAAUAUAAUAUCAUUCCAGUGUCAUUGCUAUGUUAAUGGUCACAUGAUGUGCUUUUGAGUAUGUGAUGCUUAAUUGUUAAUUACUAUGAUGUGAGCCUUUUCUAACAGUUGUAAGUGGUAGGGAAAUUUUUUUGAAAGUAAAUUUUGACCAUUCAUUAACUUAUUUUCAGGUUCAUAUCACAUAAUACACAGAUUUUAUUCAAUGGGCUUUUAAUUUCAGUAUUAGUGAUGGAUAGAGAUAGAAUGCAAUUUUACCGAAACAGUAGUUAGAUGGGAUAAGGGUGUGAAAAACAUUCAGUUGCUUUGUUAGUUGAAAUCAUGUCUCAACAUUAUACAAAUUAAAUUUAUAAAUAUAUAUAUUUCUGUGACAAAUGUAGUGAUAAAUGCACAAAGAAUUGGACAUUUUAUCAGAUCUUUAAUUCAAUAAUUUUGUUUAUACAAAUAUAGUAACAAGAGCCCAGUACAAGGUUCAGCAGGUCAAGAAAAGAGGUGUUAGUGAUAUUUAUCUUCUGAAAUUUAAAAUUUUGCUUCACAAAUUUUUCAAUUGAGUUGUGUGAAAAUUUUAAACAUGCAUAUUAAUCUUCACCAUUCUGGAUUUUCUUGCUUUGAAGACAAAUGUUACAAUGGAACAUGCAAUUUUCUUUUGAUUUGUGGGGAAUUUAUAAACAGGUGAAGAAAAUAACUCAUUUGUGACAAAAAUUAACACGUUAGGCUAAAUAAAUUUAGAAUGACAGUAAUGAAUUAAAGAAUGACUUUAUCCACCAGAUAGCUUGUUUUAAGAAACUUGCUUAGAUUACAGAAUUUAUAACAUAAGUGCUUCCUGCAUUUCUACCAAGACACAAGUGUAUUUCAAGGGAUCAGUAAUGUACUUAGAGAAUUAUUUUAUAUUGAGUGUCAGUAAAUAAAAUAUAAAUUAUUUCAUCUA
rnacentral:lncRNA from 1 species